rnacentral:snRNA from 1 species
GGAUGUGAGGACGAUCUGGCUUUUAUACCUGUCACCCCAUUGAUCUCCAGGGUAGGUACCCCAUCGCUAGGUAGAUGUCCCCUUGCGCCCUCAACAUUCCAUGUGUGUCCCUCCUGAAGCUGUGUGCUGGGUAGAGGAGGAUGACCUUUGCAAUAGAGGAGGAGCUUUCUUUGACCAAGGGUAUCCCAGUACCUGUGCUUCCCUGCUAAAACCUCCAAACAAUCUUUCAGGGUCCAAAACUGAUAAUGAAGUUAAAAAAAAAAAAAGUUGUUAAAAAAAAAAAAAACUUCUCUUACAAAGAUUAUGUCUAGUUU